rnacentral:lncRNA from 1 species
GAAAUUCUUGGUCCAAUAGGCAAUAGGCGUGCACUUAAGGACUCCAUUUUGUACACUCUGUGCCUAACGAGUGGUCAUUGUCAUUUGUUUAGCAGAAAAGCAAACCAUCAUUGACACAUGCAUCAUAUCUUCUCCAGGGUGUCUGCGGUCUCUGGCUCCUGCUGUAUGUAUAUCCGUAAGGUCUUCUUCUUCCAAAUCUGGUAAAACUGUCGUCGC